GAGAAUUCGCUGGCACUGCCUGCUACUCUGAGUGCUUAAUACACAGUAGCUCGAUCUUCACCCUAGCCUUGGGAGGUGGCAUUGGUCCCUACCCGUUUUACAGGAGAAAAAACUAAGGCACAGAGGAGUUAAAAGGUUCAUCCAGGGUGACAGAGCCAAUAAGUGGAAGACGGUGAUGUUUUGGAAAUGAGGUGACCAGAACUUCAGGGAGGUGAGGCAGACCCUUCUGAGGACAAAGCAGCAGUUAACAAUCAUCUUUCCUGUCAGUAUCCAGGCUCCAUGAAAGUACAACAGCAGAGACGGAAAGAUAUGCACCACCGGCUGAGUGAUGGUUCAGGGAAGUUGAAAUCCGUCAUGUCCGGCCAGAGCAGGCCAAGCAGAUGCCCAAUAACUGUUCUUUGGCGAUGACAAUGACCUCACGCAGGAUUCAAAUAAGAGGGAAUAUUUCCCUAACUCAUUCCAGGAGACCAGACUUACCCUGAUACUGAGGCCAAAAAAAGACACUGCGGCCAAAAAAAGACACUGCAAGAAAAGCAAACUACAGAUAACUCUCUGCUGCAAACACAGAGUCAGAAGUCCUCAAAAGAACACCAUAAAAUUGAACUUAGCAGAGAAGGAAGUGGAUUAUAUACCGUGACCAAGUGGGAUUCAUUCCUGAAAGGCAAGGAUGGUUUAAUAUCUGAAAACCAAUCAGUGUAGUGUAAAAUGUCCCAUUAGUAGAAUCAAGGGGAAAAUCAUGUGAUCACUUCAGUUGAUACAACUUUUCAUGAUUCAAAGCACUCUGAGUUAGGAAUAGAGGGAAAUUUCCUCACACAGUAGAGAUCAUAUAUGAAAACCUCCCAGCUAAUAUUACUUAAUGGUGAGAGACUAAAAACUUUGCUAAGAUCAGCAGUAAGACAAAAUGCCCACUUUUACUAACAUAGUAUUGGCAGUAUCACAAUAGACAAUAAAAAGAAAAUGUAUAUUUUUUCUGUUUAGAGAUGACAUGACCUUACAUGUAGAUAACGCUAAAGAUUCCACACAUUAAAAAAACAAAAAGAAGAAGAAAGAAAAGAACUAGAAGCUAUAUGCAGUAGUGGAUACCUAUGAUCCCAGAGCUCAGGGAGGAUCUAAAGUUUGAGUCCUACUUGGGGAAUUUAGUGAGACCCUGUCUCAAAAUUAAAAAAAAAAAAAAGCAGGAGCUGGAGGUGUUG